rnacentral:rRNA from 1 species
CGUAGGGUGCGAGCGUUAAUCGGAAUUACUGGGCGUAAAGGGUGCGCAGGCGGCUCCGCAUGUCGGGCGUGAAAUCCCCGGGCUUAACCUGGGAAUUGCGUCCGAAACUAUGGAGCUGGAGUGUGGCAGAGGGAGGUGGAAUUCCACGUGUAGCGGUGAAAUGCGUAGAGAUGUGGAGGAACACCGAUGGCGAAGGCAGCCUCCUGGGCCAACACUGACGCUCAUGCACGAAAGCGUGGGGAGCAAACAGGAUUAGAUACCCUGGUAGUCCACGCCCUAAACGAUGAUGACUAGUUGUUGGAGGAGUUAAAUCCUUUAGUAACGCAGCUAACGCGCGAAGUCAUCCGCCUGGGGAGUACGGUCGCAAGAUUAA